GUCUUACCGCGCUAUCAGAAUUCAAAAACUUUAACAGACAAACAACUUAACGGUCAAGUGGCUGUUUGCUUUCUUCGUUUAUAUAAAUAUGUUUAUGGCCUAGAUGUUUCAUGAAAUAGGACACAUUAAUCUUGUGAAAGUAAGUACGUGAAACGGAGAUGUUUUGGAUGAGAACUUGCCUCUGCGAAACUGAAGGUUUGAGCAGCUUCCUGUAGGUGGCGAUCUCGAUGUCCAGCGCCAACUUGACGUUCAUAAGCUCCUGGUACUCACGGAGUUGCCGAGCCAUGUCCUGCUUGGCUCUCUGAAGUGCCUCCUCCAAGUCCUUAAUACGACAUUUGGCCUCCUUCACAGUCAUCUCGCCACGAUCCUCAGCCUCCGCCAUCUGGUUCUCCAGGUUGGCCAUGUAAGCAUCAAACAUGGGCUCGACGUUGGAGCGGCCUGGGGUCUGGCUCUCCAGAAGCUCCCAC